GAUGAACGCUGGCGGCGUGCCUAAUACAUGCAAGUCGAGCGAACAGAUAAGGAGCUUGCUCCUUUGACGUUAGCGGCGGACGGGUGAGUAACACGUGGGUAACCUACCUAUAAGACUGGAAUAACUCCGGGAAACCGGGGCUAAUGCCGGAUAACAUUUAGAACCGCAUGGUUCUAAAGUGAAAGAUGGUUUUGCUAUCACUUAUAGAUGGACCCGCGCCGUAUUAGCUAGUUGGUAAGGUAACGGCUUACCAAGGCAACGAUACGUAGCCGACCUGAGAGGGUGAUCGGCCACACGGGAACUGGGACACGGUCCAGACUCCUACGGGAGGCAGCAGUAGGGAAUCUUCCGCAAUGGGCGAAAGCCUGACGGAGCAACGCCGCGUGAGUGAUGAAGGUCUUCGGAUCGUAAAACUCUGUUAUUAGGGAAGAACAAAUGUGUAAGUAACUGUGCACGUCUUGACGGUACCUAAUCAGAAAGCCACGGCUAACUACGUG
rnacentral:rRNA from 1 species